UCAAGCUCUCAAUUAAAGCACAACCUCCAUUUCUUUUCAUUUUCUCACAAAAAUUUCUUAACAAAAAACGUUGCAAUUUUCCCGUAGAUUACUAAUCUACAAUUGCAUGUAGGAUCAAGGAAAGCUGGUCCGAUUUUGAAGAAGGCUUCCGAACGUUUAUUUCUCGGAAGUCUACUUUGAUAAAAGACUGUAAAGAAGGUUUUAAGUUCUAGUUGUCCGCAGUAGACUAGUAUAGUCUUAUUGUAUUUAAAUGUUUUAAAGCACAUUUAAAACUCUGAUGUUUUAUCUCAUCAGUUAUUUAAUAAAUGUGUCAUACGUUUCUUUUUAAAAGCGAAAAAUUUAUAGUGUUUUUCAGGCUUGCUACGGGUUUCGGAGCAACCACUCCCA